CGGCCUGAGGUCGGACGAGGCUACCCGCUGAAUUUAAGCAUAUUACUAAGCGGAGGAAAAGAAACUAACGAGGAUUCCCUCAGUAACGGCGAGUGAAGCGGGACGAGCCCAGCGCCGAAUCCGGCCGCUUAUGGAGCGGACGGAAUUGUGGCGUAUGGAAAUCGCUUCGAGCGCGGACCGGGCUGCCCACGUUCCUUCUGAUCGAGGGUU
rnacentral:ncRNA from 1 species